GACGAGCGCUGGCGGCGUGCCUAAUACAUGCAAGUCGAGCGAAGUUUUUCUGGUGCUUGCAUUAGAAAAACUUAGCGGCGAACGGGUGAGUAACACGUAAAGAACCUGCCUCAUAGACUGGGACAACUAUUGGAAACGAUAGCUAAUACCGGAUAACAGCAUUAACUGCAUGGUUGAUGUUUAAAAGUUGGUUUUGCUAACACUAUGAGAUGGCUUUGCGGUGCAUUAGCUAGUUGGUGGGGUAAAGGCCUACCAAGGCGACGAUGCAUAGCCGACCUGAGAGGGUGAUCGGCCACACUGGGACUGAGACACGGCCCAGACUCCUACGGGAGGCAGCAGUAGGGAAUCUUCCGCAAUGGGCGAAAGCCUGACGGAGCAACGCCGCGUGAGUGAAGAAGGAUUUCGGUUCGUAAAGCUCUGUUGUUAGGGAAGAAUGAUUGUGUAGUAACUAUACACAGUAGAGACGGUACCUAACCAGAAAGCCACGGCUAACUACGUG
rnacentral:rRNA from 1 species